GAUGAAGAACGUAGCGAAAUGCGAUACUUGGUGUGAAUUGCAGAAUCCCGUGAACCAUCGAGUCUUUGAACGCAAGUUGCGCCCGAAGCCGUCAGGCCGAGGGCACGCCUGCCUGGGCGUCACACGCCGUUGCCCCCCCGCGCCCCGCACCCAACUCUUUGGGAGCGACCGCGGGGCGGGCUGAUGAUGGCCUCCCGUGCGCUCCGCCGCGCGGUUGGCCCAAAUACCGAGUCCCCGGCGACGUGCGCCACGACGAUCGGUGGUUGAGAGACCUCUGUCGCAAGUCGUGCGCGCCCGUCGCGUCACGCGGGCUCGCAUAGCGCCUCGCGCCGCACCCGGUGCGGAGCUUUCAACGCGACCCCAGGUCAGGCGGGGUUACCCGCUGAAUUUAAGCAUAUCAAUAGCGGAGGA
rnacentral:misc_RNA from 1 species